ensembl:lncRNA novel transcript
GGCCGCGCCGGUCGGCCUACUUCGCCCCGGCUGUCCGCGCGCGGGACGUAGAAGAGCGCCCUGGCCGGGAAAGGUGGGGAGGGGCUUCAGGCUCUUUCUUGCUGGAGUAGGGUGCGGAAUCCCGUACCGCUUUACAGCUGCUGGCCCCCUAGGACCCCGCGGCGCAGGCCGGAUCCCAGAGGCGGGGAUAGGAGCCAAUAGCUGAUACAGACAAAAAAAUAAAAAGCAGCUGUACCUCA